rnacentral:rRNA from 1 species
AGCAGCCGCGGUAAUUCCAGCUCCAAUAGCGUAUAUUAAAGUUGUUGCAGUUAAAAAGCUCGUAGUUGAAUUUCGGGAUCAACACGUCGGUCGUGCCAUCGGUAUGCACUGGCGUCGUUGGUUUCUCCUUUCUGAUGAUACGUGAUGCCAUUAAUUUGGUGCUACGAGGAAUCAGGACUGUUACUUUGAAAAAUUAGAGUGUUUAAAGCAGGCAAUCGCUUGAAUACAUUAGCAUGGAAUAAUGAAAUAGGACGUUCGAUCCUAUUUCGUUGGUUUCUAGGAUCAACGUAAUGAUUAAUAGGGAUAGUUGGGGGCAUUAGUAUUCAAUUGUCAGAGGUGAAAUUCUUGGAUUUAUUGAAGACUAACUACUGCGAAAGCAUUUGCCAAGGAUGUUUUCAUUAAUCAAGAACGAAAGUUAGGGGAUCGAAGACGAUCAGAUACCGUCGUAGUCUUAACCAUAAACUAUGC